ACCACCACACCAACGACAACCACAACUACCACCACACCAACAACAACUACAACUACCACCACUACCACCCCAGCCCCCAUAACAGUACAGGUGUCUCAAGGGUUCACUGUCCCGUGUUCGGACACUGACCUACUACACAUACUGCCGCGGGUGAGGGAACUACGCUGCAACCUGUUCAUCUUCUGCGGCCCAGACGACCAGUACUCGGGUCAGAGUAACCUGUGUGAGAGGUACUACGAGUGUCGGCGGCAGGCAGGAAGUUGGGAGAUUAUCCAACAAGGAUGUCCAGUCGGUACUCUCUUCAGUGAGGACAACGACCAGUGCAUCCCUCGACCUAAACAGGAAGAGCUGUGUGACAUAUUGUAGGUUGACGGCCGUGUUACUAAGACCGCCUCAACCUGUCAUAGGAAAAGAAACUCUACUGUAGUCACGGCCUAAGACCUCAGCUGCCAAGACGGAGGUUAAUUAAAGCUUAAGACCGUCUCUGCAAAGACCAACGUGAUCCCUGUCCCAACCUCAGAAAAUCAACUCAACGAGAAUCAACAACAUGGCAGUCAAUAGCUGAGAUAAAAGAUAAACGUACAUGCUAUGGCAGAUCACAAGAACCUGUGUGUUGGCCAGCUUGUAUACGUGUUUCCCUUACUGCAGCAGACAAGUCCUUUCUCAUCACCAGGCAGAGAACUAUACCGAAUGAGACCUUCAAUGUCCGUUUCAUCACCAAAAAAUCAUAAAUUCAUGCCAUUCUCUCUUUUGUGUGUGUGUGUUGUAUCAGGUUAUUGCUUAAACUAAUAUUAUUUUUCAUAUUGUUUAGUUGUUUUCACCUGCAAUGUAAACUGGUGUGUGUGUGUGUGUGUCUGUGUGUGUGUGUGUGUGUCUGUAUAAUACCCAGUGAAACUUACUAAUGUCGCUUGAUGGCAUAAUAAUAAUAUUACCAUGUAUGCCCUGCGUUUAAGAUGGAGAGAGAGAUAGUAUUACCGUAUUCUCCUUGCAUAAUAGCCUACACAUGUGCAACUAGCUAUUUCGUCUAUUAUAUUUACAAAGCCACAUUCAAAACCCUUAUAAUUAAUACACAAACUAGCCCCUCAUAAAUUGCCUCAUAAUCGCUAAAGAGGGUGAAACAUUUGUCUAAUUAAUAAAGGUUUAGGCAGGUUUCCCCUAGUCAUUGUUUACACCUACGAAGCUAACAUAUAUGACCCCUGAACUAUGUGGGCCUCGAACCCCCAUGUAAUGAUAGAGUUUUGUUUAUAUUGUUUAUGUUGUAACUUGUUUUCUUGUUUAUGUUGUGUUUUCUUGUUAAUUGUUGUUUAUUUUGUAAUUUAUUGUUGAUUAUUGUUCAUCCUGUAUCCUGCCGUUAACUUAUUUAUUUAUUGUUAAAAUUGUUGAUAUUGUUAUUGUUCAUUUAUUUAUUAUCCAGCUAAAUAAAAACAGUAAAUUCACA